rnacentral:rRNA from 1 species
GACGAACGCCGGCGGCGUGCUUAACACAUGCAAGUCGAACGGUGAAAGCGGAGCUUGCUCCGCUGGAUCAGUGGCGAACGGGUGAGUAACACGUGGGCAACCUGCCCCUCACUUCGGGAUAACUCCGGGAAACCGGGGCUAAUACCGGAUAUGACCUCCUUGGGCAUCCUUGGAGGUGGAAAGUUUUUCGGUGAGGGAUGGGCCCGCGGCCUAUCAGCUUGUUGGUGAGGUAGUGGCUCACCAAGGCGACGACGGGUAGCCGGACUGAGAGGGCGACCGGCCACACUGGGACUGAGAUACGGCCCAGACUCCUACGGGAGGCAGCAGUGGGGAAUAUUGCACAAUGGGCGCAAGCCUGAUGCAGCGACGCCGCGUGAGGGAUGACGGCCUUCGGGUUGUAAACCUCUUUCAGCACCGACGAAGCGCAAGUGACGGUAGGUGCAGAAGAAGGACCGGCCAACUACGUGCCAGCAGCCGCUGUAA